UUUAGUUAGACUUAAUUAUAUCUACUUACGGCAAAGUGUAACCUCGAUUUUAUUUGGCUAAUACGAAUUUUCUCAAAGUACCGGAAAGUGACUGUUUGUAAGAGAAGUUUAGUUUCUUAUUUCACGAAACAAUAUCUCUACUAUAUGAUAUAGAAGAUAAUGUACAAUACUUUAAAAGCUGGGUAGAAGAUUAAGAUGUAAAAUGUGUACUUCAAGUUAAAAACUCAGUCACGCGGGAUAUAGUUUGUGGUUCAACACAGUACGAAUCACUCUGUUGGACAGAAAUUUUCAGGGAGAUACAAGCCUACAUGAGAAUAAUGGAGGUAAUAUAACCGCGGUUACUUAUGUCGUUCAACUUGAGAAGGAUGUUGAAUCAUUAUCGAUCCUGAUGAUGAUAGAAAGUCAAAUACCAGUUGGGCCUAGCGACAACUGUCAUGGACACCGAAGAACGAAACUAAUUUCGACUGCAGCAAGAAAUAUUUUAUCGGAAUGGCCUUAUGAUGGUAGUCAUACACAAAUUUUUUCCAUAUACCUGUAAUCCCUGCGGUGAGAUGAACGACUGCGAGAACGUCGGCGUCUUCCUCUGUAUUCAUCGCGUCUACUGUUGCUGUAAUAAGGAGAGCUUGAUCGACGAGAGUGUUCUUUGGACCUCAUUUCAUUUGGAGCUAAAAUUUUAAGAUAGAAUCCAAUUUGAAUAGUUGUUAUCCAAAAAAGUAAAAAAAAAACUUGUUU